AUGCUCUGAAUCAGCCUCCAAUACAUGAUACUGUUUCUCCCAUAGCCAGGACUUACAGGUCCAGUAAUCGAGGGGUGGAAGUGGAAGCGGCACCACUCACUAUCACCCCUAGUGAUCUACUAGCAAAAUUUUUGCUUCCUGUUCCCAUGACAUUACAUUCUGCUGGCUUAGAGGUCUUAGUUCCAGAAGGAGGAGUGCUGCCACCAGGAGACACAACAACAAUGCCAUAAAACUAGAAGUUAAGAUUGCCAUCUGGACACUUUGGGCUCCUCCUACCUUUAAGUCAACAGGCUAAGAAGAGUGUUACAGUGUUGGCUGGGGUGACUGGCCCAGACUAUCAAGAUGAAAUCAGUCUACUACUCCACAAUGGAGUUGCUGAAUGAUAAGCAAUAAUGGAAGGAAACUGUGAAAAUCACACUAGAGUGUCAAUGAAAAUCAUCUACAGUUGAUGGUAUCUAAAAGCGAUAUGACACUUCUGAAGUGGCCUUGUGACAUCAUCUCUGAAUAGAGAAGUUGAAUGAAAUAAGUUUGCAAGCACAUUCU
rnacentral:lncRNA from 1 species